UACGUAGGGUGCAAGCGUUGUCCCGGAAUUAUUGGGCGUAAAGAGCUCGUAGGCGGUCUGUCGCGUCUGCUGUGAAAUCUCAGGGCUUAACCUGAGCUUGCAGUGGUACGGGCAGACUAGAGUGCGGUAGGGAGACUGGAAUUCCUGGUGUAGCGGUGAAAUGCGCAGAUAUCAGGAGGAACACCUAUUGCGAAGGCAGCUCGCUGGGACGUAACUGACGCUGAGACGCGAAAGCGUGGGAGCAACAGG
rnacentral:rRNA from 1 species